rnacentral:misc_RNA from 1 species
GAUGAAGAACGUAGCGAAAUGCGAUAAGUAAUGUGAAUUGCAGAAUUCAGUGAAUCAUCGAAUCUUUGAACGCACAUUGCGCCCGCCAGUAUUCUGGCGGGCAUGCCUGUUCGAGCGUCAUUACAACCCUCAGGCCCCCGGGCCUGGCGUUGGGGAUCGGCGGAAGCCCCCUGUGGGCACACGCCGUCCCUCAAAUACAGUGGCGGUCCCGCCGCAGCUUCCAUUGCGUAGUAGCUAACACCUCGCAACUGGAGAGCGGCGCGGCCAUGCCGUAAAACACCCAACUUCUGAAUGUUGACCUCGAAACAGGUAGGAAUACCCGCUGAACUUAAGCAUAUCAAUAAGCGGAGGA